GGUAGUAGCAAAUAUUCAAAUGAGAGCUUUGAAGACCGAAGUGGAGAAAGGUUCCAUGUGAACAGCAGUUGGACAUGGGUUAGUCGAUCCUAAGAGAUAGGGAAAUUCCGUUUGCAAGCGCCCGAUCUUGGGCCGCCUAUCGAAAGGGAAUCGGGUUAAUAUUCCCGAACCGGGACGCGGAUAUUGCCGUUCGCGGCAGAUGCGGUAACGCAAACGAACCCGAAGACGCUGGCGGGGGCCCUGGGAAGAGUUCUCUUUUCUUUUUAACGAGCUUUCACCCUGAAAUCAGCUUGCCUGGAGAUAGGGUUUAAUGCUCGGUAAAGCACCACACUUCUUGUGGUGUCCGGUGCGCUCUCGACGGCCCUUGAAAAUUCGGGGAAGACAUUGAUUUUCGUGUCCGGUCGUACUCAUAACCGCAGCAGGUCUCCAAGGUGAGCAGCCUCUGGUU
rnacentral:rRNA from 1 species